ACACUUAUUGAAGAUUUAUCUUGUAUAGAUUCUUUCUAAACUGCUUUAUAUAUUCACUCAUGUCAUCAUCACAUAAACCUAUGAUGCAGGUAAUAGUAUUAUCUCUCUUUUACAGAUAAGAAUACUAAAGCAUGGAGAGAUUGCUAGCACUAAAUCACUUAGCUAAUAAAUGUCAGGAUAAGAAUUUGAGUACAGGGAGUCCAGGUCCAGAGUCUGUCCACUUAGUGCUGCCAAGUUGUGUGCGUGUUGGGGGCAAUGGGUAGGUUAGAGGCAAAGAUAGAGAUAUAUAGAUAGUUUUCAAGAGUUCCUGCCAUGCCUCAGUGGAAAAGAAUCUGACUAGUAUUCAUGAGGACACAGGUUCGAUCCCUGGCCUCGCUCAGUGGGUUAAGGAUCUGGCAUUGCUGUGAUCUGUGGGGUAGGCCAUAGAUGUGGCUUGGAUCCCAUGUUGCUGUGGCUGUGGUGUAAGCCGGCAGCUAUAGCUCCGUUUUAACCCCUAACCUGGGAAAAUCCAUAUACUGAGGGUGUGGCACUAAAAAGACAAAAAAAAAAAAAAAAAAAAAAAAAGAGAGAGAGAGAUAGUUUUCAGAUUCUUAAUCUUGGUUACAUUGGUGAAUGGAGUUGGGCAUAAAAGGUUGUUGCUUAAUGUGGGAUGUGAUGAGUUUUUUUUUAAAAAACAGCAAGCAAGAAAGAAAAGUUUCACUUAUAAUUUGAUAAUGAUUAAAUUUUUAUAAUCUGCAUCAUCACUUUUACCAUAAAAAUUUCAAACCUGAAAAAAUAUUCUUUUUUCCUUCAACACAUUUAGAAAUACUGCUUUUGAUUCUAAAAACAAAAAGAAUGUAGAUGUGGGCGUUCCCGUCAUGGCGCAAUCCAACUAAGAACCACGAGGAUGUGGGUUUGAUCCCUUGCCUUACUCAGUGGAUUAGGAUCCGGUGUUGCCGUGAACUGUGGUUCAGGUCAUAGAUGCGGCUUGAAUCCUCCAUUGCUGUGGUUGUGGUGUAGGCUGACAGCUGCAGCUCCAAUUCAACUGCUAGCCUGGGAACCUCUAUAUGCCACAGGUGCAGCCCUAAAAAGCCUUAAAAAAAAAAGAAUUUGUCUGUACUACAGGCCCAGUUUGCCACAUAUACAUCUAUGUCCUUGGGUCUUGACUUGACCACACCAUGCUUUAGUUUCCUCUCCUGCAUAAAAGGAAUCAUGAUCCGUCCUCCCCCACUGGCUUGUGGUGAGUAUCCAGUAACAUCAGAGUUAAGUGCUCUGUGCAAUGCCUGGUGCUUUAUUCAUCUCUCUCAACAUUAGCUACCAUAGUCAUCAUUGCCAGGCUGAACUCUUAUUGCCCCUUCUCCUGGCCAUUUGGAAUUAAGAUUGCAAACUGAUUAAGUCAUCUGAAGCAGUCAAGAUACCAGGACAAUGACGUUGGUGUGCUGAAUAGAGAGUGUAAGUAUACAUGAGAGACUAUCCUCAAGUAACUACUGAUUAAAAACUGUUAAGUAGUUGUCAACUGGAAAACAAAUGCACCAUAUGAGUUGUGAGUUAAGCUGGGGCAAAAUGAUGACUAUAGCCUGGGAGAAAGCAUUUCAUAUGGCUCUGAAAAACUGCUUUGAAGAGGUAGGAGAAUAAUAUCAGUAUAUAUGUGGUUUUGGUGAAGGGGAGGUACAUGCAAUCAAGCACAGAUUUUGCAGAAGGUCACUGCUAGUCUUGUGAAGGUUACUGCUAAUCAUGAGGAGCAGAUGUAUCCACUAAUGAUUUCAUUGCUUCUUUAGAUAUGAGAAGAUGCAAGAAUUCAGCGCAUAAAAUCUUUUAAAAAUAUCUAACUAUCUGAAGGCCUGUUCUGCCAGGGAUUCCCAGGCUGCCUCAAUCCAGAUCUCUACCUUAAACUCUUUCCAAGGGGUAUUGAAGGUCAGGGGCUGCAGUGGCUUGUGCCUUAAUCCUUGUAGAGACAGAUGGCAAGUACCAAUUUUUAGUAGUCAAAGGCUUGACCUGCAAUGGUGACCUUGACAAUGGUCCACCCCCUGAAGUGCUCCAAGCAUUGGAGUUUUAGAAAUCCAACCUCUGCCCAUCAGCUCUCAGAAUAAGGGGUCCCUUUUGUUCAAAAUGGUGGUGUCUGCCAUUGCUCCUUGUUUGCUCAGUAAGGAUGAAAAAAGCCCAAUAACAUUAUAAACCCUUCUUAACUCCUGCCUUUUACUUUUGAGGGAAGACUAUGUAUUCAGGAAGUGCUCAUGGCAAAGCCUAUUUAAGAAAUAAAAAGAACAAUAACAAAACAUCUCAGAAAUUCCUUUUGAAAACAAGAGCCCAGAACUUGCCUGAGACUUAAUUGCCGCACACACACACACACACACACACACACGUGCACACACAUACAGAGCUUGUCUCCUACAUUUUCAGACUGUUUUAAAGUACAAGGCACAACCAGGUUAAUAAAACAUGCUUGAGGCUAUGUUCUGUUUGUUCAUUACACUAUAAAGCAUUUUAAACCUACAAUUAAUUUUAGAUAAAUUAAAGAUUUGACACAGCCAUGGUACUCGUGCAAGAGCAUUUGUGUUAAUAUCUUAUAUUUUUCAUACUCAAUCACCCUGCUGAAAAGUUUAACAGCCUUCCAUAUUUAUAACUGCUUUCUAGAUUCUUCUUUCUUUUUUUUUUUCCUACCUUAGUUGUCAAAAGCAUUAACGAAGCUGGCUUUGGGGAAGAAUUCCAAUUCAGAGUUAUUUUUCCAUGAGGUACUUAAGACUCCACACGGCAGCUUGUGAUUAUGUUGGCAGUGGCUUUGCAUAACUGUUGGUUUCCUGUAGUAUAAAUAAGUGAACAGCUAAGAAUGCUAAUGUUUUGCUUUGACUAAGAAAAAGCUCUCAAUAAAUGACAAGGAAUUACCCUCAUUGGACUACUUAAGUUUUUCUUUCUCCUUCCUUUAAAGGGGUAAGUUAAACCAAAGCAAUAGAGAUAAGUGAUCACAUAAUACUUGCUACCGCUUUAAGAUCAUUCUUCAAGUUGCAAAAAAAAAUCAAAUUGUUUCAUUCCCAAAGUCCUUUCUAGUUGAGAAAUUGAAGUGGGAGAAAGGCCAUGAGGAUCACUGGAAAACGCCAAUGCAAGCAGUGUCCAAUUGCAGCUAAAUACAGGGCAAAGAAAGUCAGAGCCUUUGCCCUCUUGAGAUUUGGACCAAAAACAGGAAAAAGAUGCUUUGGCUAGGAGAAAGGACAGACAGAGUUUAGGGAGGAAAGGUUGCAGAGGAGAAAGCUUGGCAAAAAAGGUGUAUGCAGAUGGAAUUCUCAGGAGCAGCUCCUGAGAGAGGCUUUGCAUCAUGUCAGCUGUCAUGGUCAGGAGCAGGACAGGGACUCUGUGGGAUGAGAUAUUAUGGACCUUGCACAGAGCCCUGGGCCUUUGGCUAAUUCCACAUCCUCCAAAAUCUCGAGUACUAAAUGUUCCCAUCCAGUCUCAUCUGUUUUCACUCUUUCCCUCACAGAAGACAAUCCCAAUAAAUGGAGUAAAAGCCAGAGAAAUGUCCUCCCAGGACACCUGGCAGCUACCAUUGCCCACAAGCUUCUCUGAUCCCCACCUACCUUCUACCCAGUGAAGACUCAGCCUUCCAGCUGCCAUCCUUCUUUCCAGGACAGGUUGACUGCACUGCCUUGGUGGAUGAGCCAUUGUUCACUUGGCUGCUAUUCUGCAGUUCUGUGUUUCUCCAAAGGGAACCCUCCUGCACUGCUGGAGGGAAUGUAAACUGGUACAGCCACUAUGGAGAACAGUUUGGAGAUACCUUAGAAAUUUAUACAUAGAACUUCCAUAUGACCCCGCAAUCCCACUCUUGGGCAUCUAUCCGGACAAAACUCUACUUAAAAGAGACACAUGCACCCGCAUGUUCAUUGCAGCACUAUUCACAAUAGCCAGGACAUGGAAACAACCCAAAUGUCCAUCGACAGAUGAUUGGAUUCAGAAGAGGUGGUAUAUAUACACAAUGGAGUACUACUCAGUCAUAAAAAAGAAUGACAUAAUGCCAUUUGCAGCAACAUGGAUGGAACUAGAGAAUCUCAUCCUGAGUGAAAUGAGCCAGAAAGACAAAGACAAAUACCAUAUGAUAUCACUUAUAACUGGAAUCUAAUAUCCAGCACAAAUGAACAUCUCCUCAGAAAAGAAAAUCAUGGACUUGGAGAAGAGACUUGUGGCUGCCUGAUGGGAGGGGGAGGGAGUGGGAGGGAUCGGGAGCUUGGGCUUAUCAGACACAAUUUAGAAUAGAUUUACAAGGAGAUCCUGCUGAGUAGCAUUGAGAACUAUGUCUAGAUACUCAUGUAGCAACAGAACAAAGGGUGGGGGAAAAAAUGUAAUUGUAAUGUAUACAUGUAAGGAUAACCUGACCCCCUUGCUGUACAGUGG
rnacentral:lncRNA from 1 species